CCUACAGGUGGCUGCAGUGGGGAAUAUUGGACAAUGGGCGAAAGCCUGAUCCAGCCAUGCCGCGUGUGUGAAGAAGGCCUUCGGGUUGUAAAGCACUUUCAGUGGGGAAGAAAGCCUUGGGGCUAAUACCCUCGAGGAAGGACAUCACCCACAGAAGAAGCACCGGCUAACUCCGUGCCAGCAGCCGCGGUAAUACGGAGGGUGCGAGCGUUAAUCGGAAUUACUGGGCGUAAAGCGCGCGUAGGCGGUCUGAUAAGCCGGUUGUGAAAGCCCCGGGCUCAACCUGGGAACGGCAUCCGGAACUGUCAGGCUAGAGUGCAGGAGAGGAAGGUAGAAUUCCCGGUGUAGCGGUGAAAUGCGUAGAGAUCGGGAGGAAUACCAGUGGCGAAGGCGGCCUUCUGGACUGACACUGACGCUGAGGUGCGAAAGCGUGGGUAGCAAACAGGAUUAGAUACCCUGGUAGUC
rnacentral:rRNA from 1 species